AAGUUUUAAGUCAAAAGUAAAGGAAUAAAAAACGGCGAUCAAAUAGUUAAAAAAGUUUGUUAAACUACAAGAUUUUUCAGUGAAUAUGGCCAGGCAGCGAGUUAGAUGUAUCUGGUCCGAUGACCGUUACCAUAGAACCGUAUAGCGUGCUACAAGUAUUAUACAGAUAUAUAACUCUCAUGUAAACCUGUUCAUAAAGUGGGUUACGUGACAUCAGAAUCUAUAUGCUUCGACAGAACAUCACCUUUAUCGAAAAAAAGAAGAAAAAAAUAAAUUAAUAAUAAUGAAACUAAAGUAAUUAAAAAUUAAAUAAACCAUAAUGUUAUUUUUUACUGAUUGAUGUAAUUAAAUCCUGUCUGAAGAUUAAAGUGUUGAUGAAUAUCUUCCUCACGUAUCAGGAAGUAAAUUUUAAUUUUUAAUGCAGUAGUUUAAAUAGUUACAGGUUAGCUACUGACUGAGGGUUAUUGAUCUUAUAAAUGAAAUAAAAUAAAGCAGAUUUAACGUGAGAAGCCGUGCGAAUGUCACGGUAAAACCAUAUCCUAGUCGUCCGGGUUCUAUUCGGGAUCGAGAAAUUCUCUAAACCAGACUAUACUAGAGACUAGAGAGUGCAAGCAGACUAUGUCAAUCCUUGUUGAGCGGAGACUUUAACGGUUGAUCGAACCGUUCAUGAUUAUCUUAUUUUUUAUUAUUUUAGUUAUCGAUAAAUAAUGAGAAGAAAUUCAAUUAGUAGAAUAUAAUUAUUUGUCAUUAAACGAGUGAAAGUAAUGUGUAUAAUUUAUCUAUUAAUUAAGUAAAAGCAGGUGGCUUUUUGCCAAUAGAAAAUUCAAUUAUUUAUUUCUUCAUUUUUAACUCCUGUUUUUAUUGACAACAUUACCGGAUUGGUGUAUUUAUCAACAAAGGUAUAAAAUAAUUAUAUUUUAUUCGGUAAUUACUGAGCGGUGAAGGAGUUUCUGUUCACUCACCGAGUACUUUGAUCUUUGCAACCGGUAAAAUGUAAUUUAUGAUUUAUUAUUAUAUUAUUAAAAACAUAGUUAAUAAACAUCUUGCCGGCAUUGACAUGGAUAUGCAUCAAAAAGAACUUUUCUUUAAGGUUAUAAGUUAUAAUAAUUUACAAAUAAUUGUUCAGGAUUAAUAUUUUAUUUAACGCUAGAAAUUAUUUGACAAUAUGCAAUUGACUUGUCAUUUACCGGGUAGAAAAUAUUAUUUGAACAAUAACAGGUGUGGCUAACACCAAGUCCAAUGUGUUGUUGAAUUACUUCAAGAGACAAGUGAGAGCAGAGAAGCAGGUGUCAAAUAAAAGUAUGCGGGAUAUAUAAAUUUAAAAUGUCGACAGUACAAAUAAUGAGUUUAGUUAAAUCAGACUUAACUCAUGACACACUAUUAAAUUAACUACCGAUAAAUAGAGAAUGAUAUUAAGUACAAAUUUAAUGAGAUUGAGGAAGAAACUAUGCAGACUGAGAAAGAGAGAUAGAGAAAUUAAAGUAACAAGUAAUGAGCCGUAAUUGGAUUACUGGAAAAAUGUUUAGUCGGAGAGAAGCGUGUCGGAAAAAGAGGAAAUGGGUGGAGAAAAGAAAAGAAUAUACGCAUAUAUAUAUAAAGAGGAAACGAGAGGUUUAAUACGUCGAGGUGGCUUCCAGCGAAGCCUGCAACCUGCUUGCCCCUUUAUGUAUAUAUUACACGGGACGUUGAAGGACUGGUGAACUACGAGACCAAAUAGGCUGAAGAACAAGCACAAUGUUGUAAAUGAAAUUUAGUUAUAUUUAAUCGCGAGAAUUACAAUUAUGAUGAACGUUAACUCACUGAAACAAAUAACAACUCGCGCUGAUGUUUACUCGAUCUCACUCUGCAAAAUAUCAUUCCGAGCUCCUCUCUGGACUUUGACGACGUGGAGGAUGAGUAAAGAGAGAAGUAGCGAGCAACAGUAAGUAGAGGAGGAGAAGAGAAACCGCGACGUUGAGAUUACCUCGGGAGAGGCUGCGUUGACGGUCUUUUUACACUGGUACACUGGUACCGUGUAUAGUAGACUGAGACAACGGGACACAGGGCUAAAAAUUAAAGGUUUUAGUCAAGUACUACUAUACAGAACACUGGGCACUGCUCACUGGACACUGGUAUUCGUUCAGUCGUUAGACACACAGCAGCGGCAGCAGGCCACGGUGACCGGCACAUUAACACGUCCGCUCGGUGAGUUUCGACGAGACUCGGGCCCCGGUUUGCCAGGUGGAAGAGGUAGAAACCCCCCUUGUACCUCCCCGUACCGCUUAUCGCUACCUGAGUGCCUGUGCCAGCGACUGUCUGUGUAGAAGUGUGCUGGCUGUAAGCAGUAUGGAUACGUAUACCAAGUUUCAUUUACUAUUCAGCUUGCUCAAAGUAGAAAGAGAUAAAAGAAAACAUAAACCAAGACUCCAUGACCAAGCCGCCGCCCCAGCACUACUCGACGGUUCUUUUUUCAUUUCAUUUCGUUUAUUAUUAUUCUCUUAUACUUAUUAAUCUUACUGAACAUACUUCAUUGCAUAUCUUAUCACAUCGAGCGUUUCUUUAGAGUUUCAAUCCAAACGUCUAUUAAAAUAUUAUAUACAGUUUUUUAAAUUAUACAAUUUAUAUUUUUU
rnacentral:lncRNA from 1 species